AGAAGAAGAAGAGGAAGAGUAGGUUCACGGGCCGUCCUGCGUAGCGCCAUAAACAUUACUUUUUCUCGUGUUUUCCUUCAAAGUACAAUGACGAGAAGAUCCACAGCCUGUAAGAAGAAGGUGGAGAGGACAGUGGCGGCCAGGGAAAGGAAGAAACACCGCAGAGAAGCCUUCAUGUGACGAAAGUGCCCUUCCAUUACGCCACCACCACUACCACAACCACUACCAUCACUACCACAACCACUACCACCAAAUCACCACACUAAGCGUGAAGAUGUCAGGUCGCGACCCGUUCGUCCAUCGGCGCACCUUCCAGAAUGCCAACCAGGUGGUGGAGUUGACCACACGCACCAUUCCCAAGGCUCAACACCACCAGCGAGGACAUCAGCACCAAUCACCACCACCACCACCACCUUUUGCUCAUUGGCUACAGUGAAGGUCGUGGCAGAGAGUGUACUCAAACUCCUACUGUGAGCUACUCCUGAUGCCUGCGCCCUCACCACCCCUGUGAAGGACGCCCAGCUGACCCAACCCUCCUCGUGUGCCCCUGAGAGCUCCCUGCAGCACAGUGAGUCUCUUCUUGGACGGGUCAGAGGCACAGAAGAUGUAGCCAGACUUGCCGGCCAAACCCGAGGUAAAAAGCAGUGGCUCAUAUUCAUCAAAACCAGCAAAGAAGAGAGAUCGUCUUCGCUGCCCCACCAGGGGGCGCAAGCCCUCCUGGACCCCCCACGGAUCCCAACGGAGUGAUUCUCCAUAUCUACCAAUAAAUCUUCCCUUGUGUAAUGAUAGGCUAGGUUAACUUACGUAUUAGAUUAGGUGUAGGCAUGUUUGGGUGCCAGGUGGAGACCCAAUAAUGCUGUCCUUAGUAAAUAAAUAGUGACAAGUUGAAGUUCAGUAGUCACUCCGUAAUGUUUGACACAUUUUACAUAUAGCUACCAUUUGCAGUGGCUAUGAAAUGAGUACUAAAAUCAACAAUUCCAUCUCAUAGAAAAAAGCCUCCUGAACAUGAUGGUAUAUACAGAUUUUUCAUAAAACGCCAAACAAGUGAAGCACGGAACUAUUUAUAAAAACAUUUCACAUCAUCCCCUCGGGGGUGGUGCGAGGGUAAACUGGUUUGCGGCAGUUUGUGGGCCUCGUUGCCUUGACAACCCUCGCCUUGCCUUGCUUUUCGUGUAAUAAUAAUCCUUGGUAUGCACUUGUUCACAACGUCGUAGUGAGUGAAUGAGUCUUAAUUGCUUCCAAGGAUAGCCUACUGAUGUCCUUUUAAUAAACAUGGCAUCAUUAUAGUCACCUGGCCAUGUUUGGGUUCAUGCUAAUCACAGUAUCUUUCCUUUUUAAUAGUAUCACAAGUAUCCUUUGUUUCAUUUUCCAUUAAUCUGAUAUUUUCUUUGUUAUCACAAUUCAGUGUCCAACGAUUAUCUUCCUGAACGUGCCUGUACAUUUGCAGGAGAGGCUUACAUAACUGAAUCUUAUAGAUCUUGGCCUCCUCUUUCCAAUGGUGCCUUUGUUUUGUAGCUGUGAUGAAUAGUUUUUGAGAUAUAGUGGUUAAAAGAGAUCCCCCUCCCCCACUGGGCUGCCCGAGCGCACCUUGGGGGAUAGUCUCGUUGCGAGCACUCAGCAAGGAAAGGGUUAAAAGGGAUGGUGCUGCAAACAGGAACAGCGGAUACUAUGCCGGCAACAGGAACAGGGUGCGAGCCUCGGCAGCUUGUAUGCUCUCCUGGGCGUGACUGACUCACGUUCACCCUCCAUCUUGGACGAUACAUUGGGUUAGCUUCCCUUCGGUGCCUCAAGAAUAGGGAAACUGUGGCUGCUAAACCCUGGUGCCAAGCCUGCACCUCCAGCAUAAUAACUGGUUGAGGGAGUCUCCCUAACAACCGUAACACAGUGAUUCGUGUUUUGUGUCAUUUAUCAUUGAUAUUUGUUAGUAAAAUUACUUUUAUUUUGUAUAAAAUAACAGCUGUAAUGUUUUCUGGUAAUAUUUGGGUGGGAUAUGGGAUGCAUAAAUGGUAUUCAUAUUAAUUUCAAUGGAGGGGAAGUUCGUUUUGGUUUACGAGUGUUUUGUCAUGCCGGCAAAAAUUCCCCAACAAAUUAACCCCUUCAACACAAGGACGCGUAUACUGCGUCCUUUUGUGCCCCGUACCAUAUCCGAGGACGCGCAUACUGCGUUCUGGCUUGCUUUAGCCAAUAUACGAGUUAUUUUAUCUCUAUAUUUAUGCUAACAUCUCAAAAUUAUCAAUUAAUUUGUUUCUUUAUGUGCACCAUUCAAUUCUGCAUGUUUUCAUAUAAUUAUAAUACAUGAUGAUUAUGUUGAGUUUAUGGCCGAAAACUUGUUAUAUUCAAUAGCGACAUUUGAAAUUUGCCACGCAUGGCGAUCUUGGAUACGGCGCGGGGCGCUGUUUUGGCCUGGCCGUAGGGAAGGGGUUAAACUCAUAAACUGACUGUAUCUUUAAAUUUUUGCCGCUUGUAACGGACUGAGUCCCCCCCCCAAAAAAUUUAGCCCAUUGGUAGUGUAGUGCAUAACAGCAGUGGGUCUCAACAGGCCUGGCAGACCAUGGUGUUGUGGAGUCACUCAGUACAAAUAUAUUACAUUGUCAAUAUCUAGGUAGGCAGGAAAAUUUAAGUCCCCUGUGUGUGUGUGUGUGUGUGUGGUUUUUCUAUGUAAUAUUAUACGUUGUCUCUCUCUCUCUCUUUUACUUAUAAUUUCUUCUCCCUUUUCCUCCAUUUACCUUCUUCCUCUUCCUUACCUCCUUCCUCCCUCCAUUUGGUUAUCUCUCUCUCCCUUCCUCCUCCUUUCUUUCUCUUCCUCUGCUCAUUACAUUUUCUCUUCCUUCUUCCUCCCUCCAUUUGGUUCUCCCUUUUUUCCUCCUCCUCCUCUUCUUCCUCUUUCUUCCUCAUUUGGUCUCUCUCUCUUUCCUCUCCCUUCUAUUUCUAAUUUCUUCUCCACUUACCUCCUUCCUCUUCCUUACCUCCUACCAUUUAGUUCUCUCCCUUCCUUCCUUCCUCUUCUUUCUCUUCCUCGGAUCAUCACAUUUUCUCUCCCUUGCCUCCUUCCUCCCUCCUCCUUUAUUCUCUUUCUCUGAUCAUCACAUUUUUUCUUCCUUCCUAUUUCUCUCAUAUUUCU